rnacentral:lncRNA from 1 species
GGACAUUAGAGAGACUCUAGGUCUCUCUGUCCCUCAGCUCUGUUCUCUUGGGUUGGCUCCACUCUCAGGCAGACGGUAGUCAAGAGCUGAGCUGAGCUGCCUGGUGUCCCAGUAGUCAAUUAAGACAAGCGAAAAGGAAAGUCUAACGGCUAAGUCUUUAUUUACUUACUGUGAUGGUCUGAGCAAGAGGCUAGACAGGAGGAAGCGCCAGCUCCCCUACAGGUCCAUACCCCUGGAGCAGCACCUGGCGAGGGUCAGGUGGAUCCACAUAGACAGGGGAUUUGUCUCACUGGAGUAAUAGGCUCCUGCCCUUUCACAGAUCUGGGCUGAGGUUCAGGUGUGGAAAAGUGCUGGACGCUGAGUCCAAGGGGAGAAAAGUAUCUUCAAGGUUCCCCCUUCUCCCGAUGAGCAGGGCUCAGGUGAGGCACCUGGGAAGACCUCAGGCAAAUGGAGACGCUGGGGCUAGGAAUACAGUUAUGUCUCACAGCAUGGCCGUUGAUGGGAGCCCUUGACCGCAACCUGCUUCAGGGACCCCAGGGUGCUGGCUGUGCACCAAGCGUGGCCAGGGAUGGCAGCUUUUUCUGUGAAGGCUGCCAGGUAAAGCCUUUGAAUUCACCUGAGGUCAGGCCUGAAAGAUCAUAAGCAGGUAUUUUGCCGGGAGCGAGUCCCCUCUCGUCCUUUAUGGUGGUGAGAUGGCUAUCGGCGGUUCCAGGCUUACAUCUUAUUCCUCUCAGAAACACCAGUAGGAACGGAGUGUUCCGUCUUAAUAGUUCCCGUAGAAAUUCCGAGACUAGAGACUCGCUCCAGUCAGACUGACUUGGGUCUUGCACCCGUCCCUGAACCAAUCACUGCGGCCAAGUGGACAGAAUGAAUGGAUUGACCUGGAUUGUGUCUAUACAUCUGGAUCGGGGGUUUGGGCAGGACCUCCCCAAGCUACUUCUAUGGAGAGCUGCGGAGAGGCACCACUUGCCAGAAGUGAGAGGGGCUCCUAGGUAAGCAAAAUCCACAGAUGCCCACUUUCUAGUACUUGAGUGACAAUGAAAGGGUUUAUUUAUUUCUUCGUUCAUUCACUAAAGAUUUAUUGAACAUCGGCUGUGGGCCAGGCAUUGUUCUAGGCCCUGGAGAGACAGCAAUGAAUAAGUGCAUCAAGCUUAAAUUCUCCUGGGGGUGAUAGACAAUAAAUACGAUCAGGAGGUAAAAUAUAUAGCCUGUUAGUGAUAAGGGAUAAAGGGGGAAAUAUACAUAUAACAGAGCUUUAUGACCCUAUAGGGAUAAGGGAAAAAAUUAAAGUAAAAAAGGAGGUGAGAAGGUAUGUGUAUGGGGACUGGGGGAUCCAGAAAGGCCCUGCCGAAGUUCAUCAGAGAAUGAGCAUCCCAGAUAUCUCGGGAAGGAGCAUUCAAGGCUGACAGGAUAGCAAAUGCCAAGGCCUCGGGUGGGAGCAUGCUUGGUGUGUUCAAGGAGUAGGAAGUAAAAGUUGCCAGACAUAACACUGGAUACCCAGUGACAUGUGAAUUUCAGAUGAACAAUAAAUAACUUUUUUAGUAUAAGUACAUCCCAAAUAGUGUAUGGUACAUACUUCGGCAAAAAAAUAAAAAAUAAAAAAAA